rnacentral:rRNA from 1 species
GACGAACGCUGGCGGCGUGCCUAAUACAUGCAAGUCGAACGCAGUGGGGACGGGUGAGUAACACGUGGGUAACCUCCCAUCAGAGGGGAUAACACUUGGACACAGGUGCUAAACCGAUACUGAUGGAUGGACUCGCGGUGCAGUAGUUUGUUUGUGAGGUAACGGCUUACCAAGGCCACGAUGCAUAGCCGGCCUGAGGGGGUGAUCGGCCGCACUGGGACGGAGACACGGCCCAGAGGCCUACGGGAGGCAGCAGUAGGGACUCGUCGGCAAUGGGCGAAAGUCUGACCGAGCAACGCCGCGUGAGUUAAGAAGGUUUUCGGAGCGGAAAACUCUGUUGUUAGGGAAGCGGUAUCUAACCAAAAAGCCACGGCUAACUACGUGCAAGCAGCCGCGGUAAUAC